CGUACACUCCUACGGGAGGCAGCAGUGGGGAAUUUUGGACAAUGGGCGAAAGCCUGAUCCAGCCAUGCCGCGUGCAGGAUGAAGGCCUUCGGGUUGUAAACUGCUUUUGUACGGAACGAAACGGCCUUUUCUAAUAAAGAGGGCUAAUGACGGUACCGUAAGAAUAAGCACCGGCUAACUACGUGCCAGCAGCCGCGGUAAUACGUAGGGUGCAAGCGUUAAUCGGAAUUACUGGGCGUAAAGCGUGCGCAGGCGGUUAUGUAAGACAGUUGUGAAAUCCCCGGGCUCAACCUGGGAACUGCAUCUGUGACUGCAUAGCUAGAGUACGGUAGAGGGGGAUGGAAUUCCGCGUGUAGCAGUGAAAUGCGUAGAUAUGCGGAGGAACACCGAUGGCGAAGGCAAUCCCCUGGACCUGUACUGACGCUCAUGCACGAAAGCGUGGGGAGCAAACAGGAUUAGAAACCCCAGUAGUCCCA
rnacentral:rRNA from 1 species